UACGAAGGGGGCUAGCGUUGCUCGGAAUUACUGGGAGUAAAGCGCACGUAGGCGGACCGAUAAGUCGGGGGUGAAAUCCUGGAGCUCAACUCCAGAACUGCCUCCGAAACUGCCGGCCUUGAGUUCGGGAGAGGUGAGUGGAACUGCGAGUGUAGAGGUGAAAUUCGUAGAUAUUCGCAAGAACACCAGUGGCGAAGGCGGCUCACUGGCCCGAUACUGACGCUGAGGUGCGAAAGCGUGGGGAGCAAACAGG
rnacentral:rRNA from 1 species